CCUACGGGCGGUAGCAGUGAGGAAUAUUGGUCAAUGGACGAGAGUCUGAACCAGCCAAGUAGCGUGAAGGAUGACUGCCCUAUGGGUUGUAAACUUCUUUUAUAUGGGAAUAAAACAGGGUAUGCAUACCCUCUUGUAUGUACCAUAUGAAUAAGGAUCGGCUAACUCCGUGCCAGCAGCCGCGGUAAUACGGAGGAUCCGAGCGUUAUCCGGAUUUAUUGGGUUUAAAGGGAGCGUAGGUGGAUUGUUAAGUCAGUUGUGAAAGUUUGCGGCUCAACCGUAAAAUUGCAGUUGAAACUGGCAGUCGUGAGUACAGUAGAGGUGGGCGGAAUUCGUGGUGUAGCGGUGAAAUGCUUAGAUAUCACGAAGAACUCCGAUUGCGAAGGCAGCUCACUGGACUGCAACUGACACUGAUGCUCGAAAGUGUGGGUAUCAAACAGGAUUAGAUACCCGAGUAGUC
rnacentral:rRNA from 1 species